AGAGUUUGAUCCUGGCUCAGGACGAACGCUGGCGGCACGCUUAACACAUGCAAGUCGAACGAGAGAAGAGGAGCUUGCUUUUCUGAUCUAGUGGCGGACGGGUGAGUAACACGUGAGCAAUCUGCCUUUCAGAGGGGGAUACCGAUUGGAAACGAUCGUUAAUACCGCAUAACAUAAUUGAACCGCAUGAUUUGAUUAUCAAAGAUUUAUCGCUGAAAGAUGAGCUCGCGUCUGAUUAGCUAGUUGGUAAGGUAACGGCUUACCAAGGCGACGAUCAGUAGCCGGACUGAGAGGUUGAUCGGCCACAUUGGGACUGAGACACGGCCCAGACUCCUACGGGAGGCAGCAGUGGGGAAUAUUGCACAAUGGAGGAAACUCUGAUGCAGCGAUGCCGCGUGAGGGAAGAAGGUUUUAGGAUUGUAAACCUCUGUCUUCAGGGACGAAAAAAGACGGUACCUGAGGAGGAAGCUCCGGCUAACUACGUGCCAGCAGCCGCGGUAAUACGUAGGGAGCGAGCGUUGUCCGGAAUUACUGGGUGUAAAGGGAGCGUAGGCGGGAUCGCAAGUCAGAUGUGAAAACUAUGGGCUUAACCUAUAAACUGCAUUUGAAACUGUGGUUCUUGAGUGAAGUAGAGGUAAGCGGAAUUCCUAGUGUAGCGGUGAAAUGCGUAGAUAUUAGGAGGAACAUCAGUGGCGAAGGCGGCUUACUGGGCUUUAACUGACGCUGAGGCUCGAAAGCGUGGGGAGCAAACAGGAUUAGAUACCCUGGUAGUCCACGCCGUAAACGAUGAUUACUAGGUGUGGGGGGACUGACCCCUUCCGUGCCGCAGCAAACGCAAUAAGUAAUCCACCUGGGGAGUACGACCGCAAGGUUGAAACUCAAAGGAAUUGACGGGGGCCCGCACAAGCAGUGGAGUAUGUGGAUUAAUUCGAAGCAACGCGAAGAACCUUACCAGGUCUUGACAUCGUAUGCAUAGCUCAGAGAUGAGUGAAAUCUCUUCGGAGACAUAUAGACAGGUGGUGCAUGGUUGUCGUCAGCUCGUGUCGUGAGAUGUUGGGUUAAGUCCCGCAACGAGCGCAACCCUUACUGUUAGUUGCUACGCAAGAGCAGUCUAGCAGGACUGCCGUUGACAAAACGGAGGAAGGUGGGGAUGACGUCAAAUCAUCAUGCCCCUUAUGACCUGGGCCUCACACGUACUACAAUGGCUGUCAACAGAGGGAAGCAAAGCCGCGAGGUGGAGCGAACCCCUAAAAGCAGUCUUAGUUCGGAUUGUAGGCUGCAACCCGCCUACAUGAAGUCGGAAUUGCUAGUAAUCGCAGAUCAGCAUGCUGCGGUGAAUACGUUCCCGGGCCUUGUACACACCGCCCGUCACGCCAUGGGAGUCGGUAACACCCGAAGCCUGUAGUCUAACCGCAAGGAGGACGCAGUCGAAGGUGGGAUUGAUGACUGGGGUGAAGUCGUAACAAGGUA
rnacentral:rRNA from 1 species